AAACCAAAAGAGUACUAUUCACAAUAUAUACAACCCGAAAAGAGUUCUAUUUACAUCCUCAAAAGGAGUUAUCCAAACUACCACAUUACCCUAACCAAAUUAGACAGUAGACCUGAAGGUGGGUUCUUAUACAGAUCACCAAAACAAGAAGAAACAUCUUAGUUGUCCGGCUAUUACAAACCAAACCUAACUAUUCCAGUGAUAGUGCCAAAAGUCCCCCGCGUCGGCCCCUGUUAAGGAAAACAAAGGGAAAGGGGUAAACUAUAUGCUUAAUAAGUAAACAGGGAUAAAAACGUAAACUUCAUAUUAAGAUGAACAAUUAUGUCACAAAGAUAUCAAAUCGAACAUAUAAAAGUAACAACACAAGUUAAGGAUACAGGUUAGCUCCAAAGCCACGUCAUGUGCCAUGUGUGACCUCCUGUCGACACUCCGUCGACCACUGAUAGGGGUCCGUAGAACUCCACUUGUACUCCCACCUAACACCUUAUCACCCUCACUGGCCAGUCAUCUCACGAAAUGGCUCGAGCAAACGAAACGAAAUUGAACUUGAUUCACAAACUUGGUUCAGAAACUUGGUUCACAGAAUCACAAACUUGGUGACCUUAAGACUAGGUUGGACUGGUUUCGACCAAACCCCAGCCGGCUCGAAUAGUCCGUCUAGGUCUUGAAAUCGAGCCCCACAAAAGUCACCCCGAACUACCAGCUCAAGAGGUUCAACACCAGAAUAAUUCAUAUAUACACAUCUCAUAAAGAAGCACAAGUGCAAAUUAGGGUUUAGGUCGAGUGUGAUCAAGUACACCCUCUCAUCCACACCAAAGCACAUAAACAAGUUAUACACAAAACGGCCUGAAUACUUACACAGAGAGCAAGUAUAGCAAAAGUGCGAAUAUCACGUCACGUAACAGCUAGUAGGCCCCACUGGCACCGUCUAGCCCGUCACCGUCUGAAAUAAAAGAUUACACCACAUUACUACACAAAUGACUACUAAAAUGCAUAAAUCAAGCAAAACGGCAAAACGGGCACAUGCAGGCGCGGAAACGGCAAACGAAAACGGAAACGGCUGGCAAAAGGAAACGAGCAGAUUUGGCACCUAGAACUGUUUUGAUCAAAUUUCAAACUACGGUUAUCGGAUCAAAGUUCAUGAGGUACCGUUGCGAGGCUAAGAAGAAGGGCUACAACUUUUAUGAAGACAGCUCAAGUCAGAUAUCAAUGGAACUAGAACAAAAAUGCACAAGACAGUCCUAGCCGUUUCAAUUUAGGUUACCGAGCAGGCCCUGUUUGAAUGACUAUAAAUCAUAACUCAGAGAUCGAAAUCAAGAAAUUCCAGAUGUGUUGGAAAUCUCAUUUAUAAGGCUAUAACGUUUGUGUUUUGAGCAAAAGCUGAAUCAGUACAGAGCAUAGGGAAAAAUGGGUCCAAAGUUCCUGUCAGAACUGUCCAACUUCAAAGGCAGUUCUGACACCCGAUAUUGUUUUGGGUAUCACUAGAGCUACGGAACUCGGAUUUGGACGCACUUUAUACCGUUUUGAAGUUGAGACAAAGAUAUACAAGUCUUAUGAAGACCUCAACACCCAGUUCCUUCGUUAUCAAUGUGAACUGAGCACAGGUAGAAGCAAAAUCAAAAAACGUAGCACAAUUCAGAGUUUAGAAUAGAAGCGAGGGUUUUGGCCAUAACUUAGGCUACACAGAUCUGUUUGCCCUGAAAUUUUGCAAGCACAACAACCACUUAAGAAGCUAAAACUUUCAUGUUUUGGGUAAACCCUGAAUUAGUAUGUAGCACAAAGAAAAAUGUAGCCAAAAUUCAGAUUCUGGGCUGCCUUGUUUUCCAGUUUAACCGGUUUCGCACGUCACAAACUCAUGGUCCGUUGCUAUGGUUCUCAUGUAAGUUUUCUAACCAACUUCAUACCAACCAAACACACAUAAACCACCUCCUAUUUGCCCUGCAAGAAAAUCAAAAUUCCUUUCCCAAAUUAAUCCCAAAACUUAUCAAACACUAACCCUAAUAUAGCUUCUAGCAUGAGGAACAAAAGGAAAGGCGACGAGAAAGGCAGUUUUGCCAUCCUUUGGUAUUUUGAUAAUAACUUUUUCAAAACUUAUUAACUUUAUCAUUUUUAAACCAUGAAACAUACCUAUUUUCAAGUUUAACUUGUAUACUCAUUCAAUCCAAUAUACUUUCUCAAUCCCAUAUUAAUUAUGGCUUAUAGAUACUCCACUAUUUUUUUUUUUUUUAACAAAACUUAAAGUUAUUUGUAAAUUAACUUAGUCCACAACCUUCACCUCUCACAAUUUAUAAUCUUUGAAUUACUAAGAAAGCCAAGUUUAAGCGAUUAGAAGUCAUUUCAUGAAUACGGCUAUAACAAAUUACCUUAGAGUUUCUAAAACAUCAAAUAAGUUUUAACUCAUUGCUAUACAACCUAUCUAAAUAAAUUCAGCAAUAAUACUUCAAGUUUUCAUCCAAUAACUUCAUUUUUUAAUUGAUUAAAUCUCCAACUACUUAACUUACAUUUAAUCUAAUAUGAAUUAGGAUAAGAAACAUUUAAUUGUAACCAAUGUUUUGUGCAAACUAUGCACACAAAUCAGUCUUAAUUAUUACAGCUUUUAAACAAUCCCUUAGCUAUGUAUAUAUCGGUCCAAUGUUUGCCGUUUCACUCAAGUUCCUUCUUCCAAGUUUUUUUUAUCCCAACUAGACAUGUUAACCACGUUUAUUAAACUACAAAUGAGCCUUGUACAGAACACCAAAUUUUAAUAUCAUAUAAAACACUUGAGCAGUUAAAACUUCAAAGGAAAAGCUGAUGAGAACUUGUUUCUUCCUUCAGACAUGAUGGAUUUUGGACAGCAAUCAGUUUUUAAGCAAGAAUUUCUCCAUUCAUUACUUCAUUAUAUACUCGAAUCUAACAUGCAUGCUAAGAUUAGAAUAUUAUACCAUGGAUUAAGUCUGAACGUAGGUGUUUGGAACCCAAAAAUCUAUAAGAAAACCUAGAAAUUUUCCUAGUUCUUCUCUCGGUCAGCUAAGCAGAAUUUUCACUCAAGUUAUCAACUCCACUCCAGGUUCUCAGGUAAGACAAGGUGAGAACAUAUAGUUUGAGCCUCUAGUAGAAAAUUACUCCAUGCAUUCGAUUAAUAACCGCAUGAUCAGUUUUUUUUUUCUCUCGGAUAGAGCUAAAAAGAUUUCAACGGAUAACCUCCCUAAACAGGUUCUCCCUUCAGCUGCACUCUUCUUUUCUUUCGUAAGUAAAAUCCAGCAUACCACAGUGAUUAUUCAAGUAUAAUCAAGUGUACUAGAUGAUUAGGGGGUUAUUACAAAAAGUUUAUCAAGUUUAUGGCUGCAACAACAACUCUUGGUUCCUUCAUUGCUGUCCGACAAUAUCCUCUUCAAAAUGGAACUCUACCUUAGCUAGGAACUCAUUUUCUUUGCUAAAUUCCAACAUGCAAUCCAUAUAUGCGGUUGUAUUCAGGGAAUGAAAGGGAGGUUACAAGAGUCUUACCCUUUUUUGUUACGUUUUUAAUAGUUGCAGCUUCGGUCUCUCUAAUUCUUGCAUCAGCUCUCUCUCCCUUUUUUUUUCCAGGCUUGGCUUGCGGUAUUGAGGUUACUAGCUGAAGAAGUGAAGCGAACCAGUGUCUCUCUCUCCCCCUCACUCUCUCGGGUGCAGACUGGAGGCAGUGAAAAACCAGAAAUGUUUCUCACUCGGUGGUGUUUUGGAAUGAGUGGUUAUGACCGAAACUCUCUCUCUCGGCUUGGUUGGUAAGAAGAGCAUUUGAACAUAUUUCCUUCACUCCACCGACCACUCAAGCUUCUUCAUUCGGUGCUGAUCAAUCCAAUGUUCACCUCAUUCGGUCACUGCAUACUCAGCAGAUUCC
rnacentral:lncRNA from 1 species